GUCUCACUGAAGUCCUCCAUUCUUCUCAAGUCCACUCCGGUCACGAUGAGUGUCAGGUGCUGCCUGGGGUAGAAACCAGUGACUACAAAGCUGCAAAGGAAAAGGGUUAGUGUCUGAGUGUCUGCAGUCACACCUGUGAGUUCUUUCAGGCUCUGCAUAUUCACCUCAGCGGGACAACACGAGUGCUGCCUCAAGAGAAACUUCUCUUGACUACCUCCUCUGCCACCCCCAAUGUAAAGUGUGGAAUGAGGACAGGAUCUUUGUUUCCUUUGCUGCCCCAUCCUGAAAUCAUGGGACACACUGGCAAGAGAGCUGUCCAAAGAGGAGUACCCAGGCUUUCCUGCCUUCAUCUUGCCUUCAUCUUAUAAGCACCAUGUGGAUACAUUGAGCCGUCCCAGAUAACCCAGGACGACUUCCCCAUUACACCUUAACUUAAUCCAUCUGCCACGCCCCCUUUGCCAGGUAAAGUAACAUAUCCACAGGUUUGGGAUAUUAGGAGGUAGAUGUUUGGGGGGACCAGUGUUCAGCGUACCAUACUAACUGUGACCUCCCCCAAGAAGGGAGGUCUCUGAGACUCCGGUCCCUCAUCUGUAGAACGGUGGGU
rnacentral:lncRNA from 1 species